rnacentral:rRNA from 1 species
UACGGAGGAUGCAAGCGUUAUCCGGAUUCAUUGGGUUUAAAGGGUGCGUAGGCGGGCUAUUAAGUCAGUGGUGAAAUCCUGCAGCUUAACUGCAGAACUGCCGUUGAUACUGAUAGUCUUGAGUUUGGUUAAGGUAGGCGGAAUGUGUAAUGUAGCGGUGAAAUGCUUAGAUAUUACACAGAACACCAAUUGCGUAGGCAGCUUACUGAGCCGACACUGACGCUGAGGCACGAAAGUGUGGGGAUCAAACAGGA